rnacentral:rRNA from 1 species
AGAGUUUGAUCCUGGCUCAGAUUGAACGCUGGCGGCGUGCCUAACACAUGCAAGUCGAGCGGUAACAAGUGUAGCAAUACAUGCUGACGAGCGGCGGACGGGUGAGUAACGCUUGGGAAUCUGCCUGUUAGUGGGGGACAACCCGGGGAAACUCGGGCUAAUACCGCAUACGCACUACGGUGGAAAGCCGGGGACCGCAAGGCCUGGCGCUAACAGAUGAGCCCAAGUCGGGUUAGCUAGUUGGUAGGGCAACGGCCUACCAAGGCGACGAUCCGUAACUGGUCUGAGAGGACGACCAGUCACACCGGAACUGAGACACGGUCCGGACUCCUACGGGAGGCAGCAGUGGGGAAUAUUGGACAAUGGGGGCAACCCUGAUCCAGCGACGCCGCGUGGGUGAAGAAGGCCUGCGGGUUGUAAAGCCCUUUCGGUUGGGAAGAAAAGUUCUGAUCUAACACAUCGGGACCUGACGAACCAACUAAAGAAGCCCGU